rnacentral:rRNA from 1 species
UGGGGAAUAUUGGGCAAUGGGCGAAAGCCUGACCCAGCAACGCCGCGUGAAGGAAGAAGGCUCUCGGGUUGUAAACUUCUUUGACAGGGGACGAAAUAAAUGACGGUACCCUGAAAACAAGCCACGGCUAACUACGUGCCAGCAGCCGCGGUAAUACGUAGGUGGCGAGCGUUGUCCGGAUUUACUGGGUGUAAAGGGCGUGUAGGCGGGGCGGUAAGUCAGAUGUGAAAUAUGGGGGCUUAACCCUCAAACUGCAUUUGAAACUAUCGUUCGUGAGUGAUGGAGAGGCAGGCGGAAUUCCGUGUGUAGCGGUGAAAUGCGUAGAUAUACGGAGGAACACCAGUGGCGAAGGCGGCCUGCUGGACAUUAACUGACGCUGAGGCGCGAAAGCGUGGGGAGCAAACA